rnacentral:lncRNA from 1 species
UGGAUUUCAAUUGGAUACCCUUUUUCUCUGUUCCAGGUACAAGUCAAGUUGAAUUUACAAAAAAAAAUUCAGUGUUAGAAGUAUUCAAAUCCAUAAAUUCACUACGAAACAAGGCCGGAACCAAUUUGAGACUUUGGAAAACUUCAAAUAGUAAACUGAAACUAUCAAUCAUAUUAAUAUUACAUCUAUCUCCACAUAGAAGUGUUGGAAAAGAAAGCUAUCUGAGAGGCAGAGGUUGACUAUAAACUUCAUCUCUCUCUGGACCUCAGGGAGUUUUUCCAGAGCUGAAUUGCGCGUGCACUUCUGCCAGAGCAGAAUCACGUGUGUACUUGGUGUAUAACCUCAGCAGUAUCUUCCAUCAGAACCCAAAAUCGGCAACGAAUAUGUCCUUUAGACUUUGCUAGAAAUGGCCGAACACUAAAAAAUCGGUGGAAAACCAGCUUAAGCUGGUUGUACUUUGAAGUUCGUUCAAUUCACACAGGCAGGGUGAUUGAGGUGCGUGCUUCAACAUCUAAGUUUCACACAAGGAACCUCCUGCUCUUAAGGAUAAACUACGAUAUUUGAUGGACUGGCAGGUCAGCCACGUAAUUUAUCCC